rnacentral:ncRNA from 1 species
GGGUGUGGCUUUCCAUCGAAAGGCGCAGGUUAAAGACUUACGCCGGUCGGGCCGCUGGUG